rnacentral:rRNA from 1 species
UACGUAGGGGCCAAGCGUUGUCCGGAUUUAUUGGGCGUAAAGAGCUCGUAGGCGGUUCGGCAAGUCAGCUGUGAAAUCUCCACGCUUAACGUGGAGGGGUCAGCUGAUACUGCUGUGACUUGAGUCCGGUAGGGGAGUGUGGAAUUCCUGGUGUAGCGGUGAAAUGCGCAGAUAUCAGGAGGAACACCAGCGGCGAAGGCGGCGCUCUGGGCCGGAACUGACGCUGAGGAGCGAAAGCGUGGGGAGCAAACAGG